AGCCAGACUCCUACGGGAGGCAGCAGUGGGGAAUAUUGCACAAUGGGGGAAACCCUGAUGCAGCGACGCCGCGUGAGUGAAGAAGUAUUUCGGUAUGUAAAGCUCUAUCAGCAGGGAAGAUAAUGACGGUACCUGACUAAGAAGCCCCGGCUAACUACGUGCCAGCAGCCGCGGUAAUACGUAGGGGGCAAGCGUUAUCCGGAUUUACUGGGUGUAAAGGGUGCGUAGGUGGCAUGGCAAGUCAGAAGUGAAGGCCCGGGGCUCAACCCCGCGGACUGCUUUUGAAACUGUCAGGCUGGAGUACAGGAGAGGUAAGCGGAAUUCCUAGUGUAGCGGUGAAAUGCGUAGAUAUUAGGAGGAACACCAGUGGCGAAGGCGGCUUACUGGACUGUAACUGACACUGAGGCACGAAAGCGUGGGGAGCAAACAGGAUUAGAUACCCCUGUAU
rnacentral:rRNA from 1 species